rnacentral:rRNA from 1 species
GACGAACGCUGGCGGCGUGCUUAACACAUGCAAGUCGAACGGUAAGGCCCUUCGGGGUACACGAGUGGCGAACGGGUGAGUAACACGUGGGUGAUCUGCCCUGCACUUCGGGAUAAGCCUGGGAAACUGAGUCUAAUACCGGAUAGGAUUCCGGACUGCAUGGUCUGGGGUGGAAAGGUGUUGCGGUGUGGGAUGGGCCCGCGGCCUAUCAGCUUGUUGGUGGGGUGAUGGCCUACCAAGGCGACGACGGGUAGCCGGCCUGAGAGGGUGCCCGGCCACACUGGGACUGAGAUACGGCCCAGACUCCUACGGGAGGCAGCAGUGGGGAAUAUUGCACAAUGGGCGCAAGCCUGAUGCAGCGACGCCGCGUGAGGGAUGACGGCCUUCGGGUUGUAAACCUCUUUCAGCAUCGACGAAGCGAAAGUGACGGUAGGUGCAGAAGAAGGACCGGCCAACUACGUGCCAGCAGCCGCGGUAA